AAUAGAGUAAAGAAGUCGCUAGGCACUA
rnacentral:sRNA from 1 species